CCCUUAGAUGUUCUGGGCCGCACGCGCGCUACACUGACUGCUCCAACAAGUUACCUGGGCUGACAAGCAUCCGGGAAAUCUUGCAAAGGCAGUCGUGAUGGGGAUAGAUUCUUGCAAUUUUUGAUCUUCAACGAGGAAUUCCUAGUAAACGCAAGUCAUCAGCUUGCAUUGAUUACGUCCCUGCCCUUUGUACACACCGCCCGUCGCAUCUACCGAUUGAAUGGAGAGGCAAAAUCUUCGGACCGUGACGCUUGGGAGUCAAAUCUCGGGCUGUCGUGGGAAGUGGAUUAAACCUUUCUAUUUAGAGGAAGGUAAAGUCGUAACA
rnacentral:rRNA from 1 species